rnacentral:rRNA from 1 species
AUGGACCCUAGUAAGAUCUUGAACGUCAGAUUUCAUUUUGGAGGCGAGUUCAUCCACAAUGGUCCUGUUUUGGAUUAUGUGGGUGGAGAUGAAAAGAUUUCAGAGAUCGAGAGAGACAAGCUAUCAUUGCAGGAAGUUCAAGGGAAUUUGAAAGACCAUCUGGAGUUCAAGGAAUCAAUGAUGUUAUAUUUUCAUCAUCCUGGGAAAGAACUAGCUGAUGGUUUGAUGUUCUUAUUCGAUGACAAUACUUGUGUGAGGAUGUCGUACUGCAUCCGUGUUGGAGAUGUAGCAGAUGUUUAUGUUGAAUACCAUGGGGAGCAGGAUAGUGAGUACAACAGCAGUGGUAGUGACUUUGAGAAUGAGAUAGUUGAUCUGGAUGAUGAAUUGAUGAUGAAGCUGAAGAACCUGACAUUGUCAUUAGUGCUGAGCCAGAUGACAGUUGUGUGCUCACUCAAAUAA